rnacentral:rRNA from 1 species
GACGAACGCUGGCGGCGUGCCUAAUACAUGCAAGUAGAACGCUGAAGAGAGGAGCUUGCUCUUCUUGGAUGAGUUGCGAACGGGUGAGUAACGCGUAGGUAACCUGCCUUGUAGCGGGGGAUAACUAUUGGAAACGAUAGCUAAUACCGCAUAACAAUGGAUGACACAUGUCAUUUAUUUGAAAGGGGCAAUUGCUCCACUACAAGAUGGACCUGCGUUGUAUUAGCUAGUAGGUGAGGUAAUGGCUCACCUAGGCGACGAUACAUAGCCGACCUGAGAGGGUGAUCGGCCACACUGGGACUGAGACACGGCCCAGACUCCUACGGGAGGCAGCAGUAGGGAAUCUUCGGCAAUGGGGGCAACCCUGACCGAGCAACGCCGCGUGAGUGAAGAAGGUUUUCGGAUCGUAAAGCUCUGUUGUAAGUCAAGAACGGGUGUGAGAGUGGAAAGUUCACUCUGUGACGGUAGCUUACCAGAAAGGGACGGCUAACUACGUG